CCUACGGGUGGCAGCAGUGGGGAAUAUUGCACAAUGGGGGAAACCCUGAUGCAGCGACGCCGCGUGCGUGAAGAAGUAUCUCGGUAUGUAAAGCUCUAUCGGCAGGGAAGAAAAUGACGGUAACUGACUAAGAAGCCCCGGCUAACUACGUGCCAGCAGCCGCGGGAAUACGUAGGGGGCAAGCGUUAUCCGGAUUUACUGGGUGUAAAGGGUGCGUAGACGGCGCAGCAAGUUCGGAGUGAAAGCCCAUGGCUUAACCAUGGUACUGCUCUUGAAACUGCGUACCUUGAGUGCGGGAGGGGAAGGCGGAAUUCCUAGUGUAGCGGUGAAAUGCGUAGAUAUUAGGAGGAACACCAGCGGCGAAGGCGGCCUUCUGGACCGUAACUGACGUUGAGGCUCGAAAGCGUGGGGAGCAAACAGGAUUAGAUACCCCAGUAGUC
rnacentral:rRNA from 1 species